rnacentral:rRNA from 1 species
CAUACUGUGCGAACGUUAUUCGGAUUCACUGGGCUUAAAGGGUGCGUAGGCGGCUUGUUAAGUAGGGUGUGAAAGCCCCCGGCUCAACCGGGGAACUGCAUUCUAUACUGGCUAGCUAGAGUGAGAUAGGGGUGUGUGGAACUGCCAGUGGAGCGGUGAAAUGUGUUGAUAUUGGCAGGAACGCCGGUGGCGAAAGCGACACACUGGGUCUCAACUGACGCUGAGGCACGAAAGCCAGGGGAGCAAACGGGAUUAGAUACCCCGGUAGUCCUGGCCGUAAACGAUGAGUACUCGUUUGGAGCGACUGCGGUCGCUCCAGACUUAGGGAAACCGUUAAGUACUCCGCCUGGGGAGUAUGGUCGCAAGGCUG